UACGGAGGGGACUAGCGUUGUUCGGAAUUACUGGGCGUAAAGCGCACGUAGGCGGAUUUGUAAGUCAGGGGUGAAAUCCCGGGGCUCAACCCCGGAACUGCCUUUGAUACUGCGAAUCUCGAGUCCGGAAGAGGCGAGUGGAAUUCCUAGUGUAGAGGUGAAAUUCGUAGAUAUUAGGAAGAACACCAGUGGCGAAGGCGGCUCACUGGGCCGGUACUGACGCUGAGGUGCGAAAGCGUGGGGAGCAAACAGG
rnacentral:rRNA from 1 species